ACCUGCCUGAGUAUUUGUUUUUCUGUUGUCUUUCAGUGGGUUUCUGCUGGCGUACAAUGUCCUGAAAACGAAGAAAAAUCCUGCUCUUAUCGGCACCGUAGCCUUAUUGCGCAGAAUCAUCAGGGUUACCGUUCCCGUGUUUUUCGUCCUGAUGUGCUUCUGCCUGCUGCCACUGGUAGCCACUGGUCCGAACACCGUCAUGCUGUUCAGCAAGUUCCACAGCGAGCUGGAACGACACUGGUGGAGGCUGAUCCUUCAGAUCCGGAACUUCGCCAACGCCAACGAAUUGGAAUGCUUUUCGCACUUGUGGUACCUGUCGACCGACUUCCAGCUGUUCUUGGUCUGUGUCACUAUUCUUCUACUCUUCAAAGGG